CGGCGUAUCAUUCAAGUAUUCAUUUACAUUAUUUUUAUGUUGUGACCUCUGAGCUCCAGAUUGGGACAGAGGGAAUCAGCAUAAUUUUUUGUGGUGCAUUUACUUGAUUGGUGCUUGGGGAUGUUUGAGGCAGAUUUGUUUCCGUCGUUUUGAGGCCAGCUUGCUGGUACCCAAACGGUGUUAGCAUUUUUUGUCUUGGGCAUUUGAGUAUGGCUCACGUGUAUUUAUUGGACAGAUCUGAGUGUAAGUUACGGUCGCAUGCGACACGUGCUUUUCAAUUAGUUCGGUCCAGUUAAUGCUCUCGUACUCGUUCCCCAUGUAAAAGCCGGUCAUCUAUCCGACCCGUCUUGAAACACGGACCAAGGAGUUUAUCGUGUGCGCAAGUUUUUGGGUGUUAAAAACUUAAAAGCGAAAUGAAAGUAAAUGACUCUUUAGAGUCUGAUGUGCGAUCUUGUAAAAAAGUGUAGCAUGGCCCCAUUCUAACUGUUUACAGUAGGGUGGCGGAAGAGCGUACGCGGUGAGACCCGAAAGAUGGUGAACUAUUCCUGAGCAGGACGAAGCCAGAGGAAACUCUGGUGGAAGUCCGAAGCGGUUCUGACGUGCAAAUCGAUCGUCUGACUUGGGUAUAGGGGCGAAAGACUAAUCGAACCA
rnacentral:rRNA from 1 species